AGCUCCCACGCAGCCCGCGGCCUGAAAGGCUGGUCUCACUCCCACUGAGUGGCUUGCAUAUGAUCUUAUAUAUACUCUCACUCUCACUCCUGGCUUGUAUAUGAUCUUAUACAAGUUAGAAAAGCAAGCUGACUCACAGUUUCUUGGCUCUCCCACAGAGCCUGCAGUGGCUAUCCACCUCCUUCAAAGGGUCUGUGGAUUCUCUUGGCUUUCCUGGUAUGUUCCCGCUAUAGUUCUUGGAGCAAAAGUUCACAUUGUGGGUCUCCAGAGGCUGCUCUGUUUAUCCGAAUGGGAGCUGAAAGUUAGUGCUGUUUCCUAUCUGCUAUUUUCCUGGUAUUCUUUUUAAAUUUCUUUUUUUAGAUAGUUUCGUGUUAGUGUAUAAGAAUGCAACUCAUUUUUUGUAUGUUGACUUUUAUCCUGCAAGUUUAUUGAAUUAGUUUAUUAGUUCUAACAGUUUUUUUGAUGAAGUCUUUUGAGGUUUCUAUAUAUAAGAUCAUGUCAUCUGCAAAUAUCAACAAGUUCAUUUUUUUUCUCAUUUGGAUGCCUUUUUCUUCCCUUUUGCAUAAUUUCUCUAAAAGGACUUCCAGUACUAUGCUGAGUAAGAGUGAUGAAGGAAUGCCUGUUACUAUGCAUCUAACAAAGGACUAAAAUCCAGAAUCUACAAGGAACUAAACUCAACAAGAAAAAAUAAUCUCAUUAACAAGUGGGGAAAAGAUAGGAACAGACAUUUCUCAAAAGAAGAUAUACAAGAGGACAAGAAACAUAAAAUAAAAUGCUCAAUAUCACUAACCGUCAGUGAAAUGCAAGUUAAAACCACAAUGAGAUGCCACAUCACACCGGUCGGAAUGGCCAUUAUUAAAAAGUCAAAAAACCACAGAUGUCGACAAAGAUGCAGAGAAAAGGGAGCACUUAUACACCGUUGGUGCGAAUAUGAAUUAGUACAACCUCUAUGGACAACAGUAUAGAGAUUUCUCAAAGAAGUAAAAAUAGAACCACCAUUAGGCCCAGCAAUCCCACUACUGGGUAUCUACCCAAAGAAAGAGAAAUUGUUAUAUAUAUAUAUCUGCACUCAUAUGUUUAUCACUGCACUAGUCGCAGUAACAAAGUCAUGGAAUGAACCUAAGUUUCCAUCAAAAGAUGAUUGGAUAAAGAAAAUGUGGAAUACCAUGAAAUACUACACAUCCGUAGAAAAAAAAUUAUGUCUUCUGCAGCAACAUGGAUGUAACUGGAGGUCAAAAUACUCAGAAACACAACAUCAAAUACCACAUGUUCUCACUUAUAAAUGGGAGACAUGUACAAACAGAGAAAAAUAGUCAAGGCUGGGGACUUUAAAAGAGGGGCUUGGGAGGGACUUGAGAGUUGAAAAAUUACCUACUGGAUACAAUGUUCAUUAUUCAGGUAAUAGGAACAUUAGAAGCCCAAAUCUCAGCUUUCCACAAUAUAUCCAUGUGACAAAUCUGCAUAUAUACCCACUGAAUCUAUAAAAAUAAAAUGAAUAAAUUUUAAAAAGCAUGUUUCAACACUUCAUAGAAACUCUACAGUUUGGUUAUUAACAUAGAAUCUUCUAGGUCUCAUGGUCAAGUAGCAACAGAGCUAAAUCUAUUCCUAAGAGUUCUUUUUCUAUGAACCUCAAAACUGACAGCCUUAAGAAUUAUCUAACUAAUAGGCUAAAACAAUAUUCUUAAACAUGAUAUAUUCUUCCUCCAAAAUCCAAGAAGUUCCACACAAGACUGUGCCUUUUUGUUGGAGGUAGUAGGUACAAAGAAAAAUAACUUGACCUUGAGUUUAGAGUACAUAUUCUGAUGUGGACUAGAUCAUUAAAUCACUAAAGUAAUAACCAAUAUGGCAGUGUAAUUAUGAUUAUAGGUUUUAUCUCUGACUCUUGGCAGCCAUGUUUGCUAGGAAAUUAUUUGCCAUGGUCUGCUCACCAAAUCCAAUUUACACAAUAUUAUUACAAUAGAGGGCCACAAUGAUGCUCUGUUGAAUGCCAAGAUGAAAACGGUAUCUUCUUCUAGAGAGGAUGGAGGUAGUCUACCCCUGUGAUACGAUAGUGAGUGUUGUCUAUAUUUUCCUAGGUGAAUUUGAACUACUACAUUUACACUCUUUGUGCGAUUAAAAAGGACGUAUCUUCCAGAUCAAUAAAAGCUUACCAAAAGUUACAGUAGGUAUUGAUCUCUUCUGGUAAUGAUAUUACAUCCAGCACAGAGCUGCAAUUGAGUUUUCACAUGCUUAAUUAUGCCGUAGUUCUCUGUCGUCUGCCAUGA
rnacentral:lncRNA from 1 species